rnacentral:rRNA from 1 species
GAUGAACGCUGGCGGCGUGCCUAAUACAUGCCAGUCGAGCGGACGGACGAGAAGCUUGCUUCUCUGAUGUUAGCGGCGGACGGGUGAGUAACACGUGGAUAACCUACCUAUAAGACUGGGAUAACUUCGGGAAACCGGAGCUAAUACCGGAUAAUAUUUUGAACCGCAUGGUUCAAAAGUGAAAGACGGUCUUGCUGUCACUUAUAGAUGGAUCCGCGCUGCAUUAGCUAGUUGGUAAGGUAACGGCUUACCAAGGCAACGAUGCAUAGCCGACCUGAGAGGGUGAUCGGCCACACUGGAACUGAGACACGGUCCAGACUCCUACGGGAGGCAGCAGUAGGGAAUCUUCCGCAAUGGGCGAAAGCCUGACGGAGCAACGCCGCGUGAGUGAUGAAGGUCUUCGGAUCGUAAAACUCUGUUAUUAGGGAAGAACAUAUGUGUAAGUAACUGUGCACAUCUUGACGGUACCUAAUCAGAAAGCCACGGCUAACUACGUG